CUCUCUCUCCCACUUUUACUCUCUUUUUCUUAUUGUUUUCAAGCUUCAACUAAAUUAGGCAUCGGGGGAUUUCCCAUUGAAAAACUCCUGACAAAUGUGAACUUUCCUUGCAGGUUCUCUCCGAUGCCUAGCUUUUCGAAUAGAGUCCAACUCCAGCAAUGCAUCGGAGAUGUGUAGCAACAUACUUCAUGGUUGCAGUAGACUUGGAAAAGGUAUGCGAAAUUCAUUGUCAUGUACGCUCUACAAAGAAACCAGCGAAUAGAAAUUUCUAUACAAACAAUUUUAUACCGGUU
rnacentral:lncRNA from 1 species